rnacentral:rRNA from 1 species
GACGAACGCUGGCGGCGUGCUUAACACAUGCAAGUCGAGCGGUAAGGCCCUUUCGGGGGUACACGAGCGGCGAACGGGUGAGUAACACGUGGGUGACCUGCCCUCAGCUCUGGGAUAAGCCUGGGAAACUGGGUCUAAUACUGGAUAUGACUCCACGGUGCAUGUCGUGGGGUGGAAAGCCUUGUGCGGCUGAGGAUGGGCCCGCGGCCUAUCAGCUUGUUGGUGGGGNGAUGGCCUACCAAGCGACGACGGGUAGCCGGCCUGAGAGGGCGACCGGCCACACUGGGACUGAGACACGGCCCAGACUCCUACGGGAGGCAGCAGUGGGGAAUCUUGCGCAAUGGGCGAAAGCCUGACGCAGCGACGCC